UAGCAUGAGCAGCGAAGUAAUUCCCACGAUAGAAUUCAUAGACCUGAUGGACAGCUUGUUCGAUACUUUUAACUCUCGUUUUGAACAUGAUAAGCUAAAGCCUCUACGAUCUGCUAUAUGCGAUAAUAGCGAACAUUGGGAAUUUCUCGUUAAAACAAAAAAUAUUCUUGAGAAAGCCAAGUUUAUCCCGAAAUCGUGCUUCGAUACCUCAACGGCAUUGGAUGAAGCUCAAAAUCUGCUCACAGCUAAACAGAGAUUCCCUUCAUUUAUGAAAGGAUUAA